GACGAACCGUGCGAACGUUGUUCGGAAUCACUGGGCAUAAAGGGCGCGUAGGCGGCUUAUCAAGUCAGGGGUGAAAUCCGGCAGCUCAACUGUCGAAGUGCCCUUGAUACUGACGAGCUCGAGGGAGGUAGGGGUCUGUGGAACUUCCGGUGGAGCGGUGAAAUGCGUUGAUAUCGGAAGGAACGCCGGUGGCGAAGGCGGCCAUCUGGACCAGCACUGACGCUGAGGCACGAAAGCGUGGGGAGCAAACAGG
rnacentral:rRNA from 1 species